rnacentral:rRNA from 4 species
CUGACCUCAAAUCAGGUAGGAUUACCCGCUGAACUUAAGCAUAUCAAUAAGCGGAGGA